rnacentral:lncRNA from 10 species
CUUUUCCAUGAAGGUCCCCAAUUGGGCAGUGCCCUGAAAUCACUUCUAAUGCUGAUGCUAGGCAACACCUCAGACCUACUGCUCAGACCCUCCAGGGGCAGGGCCCAGGAUUGAAGAGGGAAGCCCUGCUCCACACGUGUUCAUCAGGAAGGACCCACAGACUGCUGCUCCUGGAGGCCUCUCGGUUUAUGGAUGUGUGUUUGUUCCAUAAACCCUCAGAGGGUCACCUGGAGACCCGCUAAAAUGCAGGUUCUUGGGCCACAUCCUAGACCUUCUGACCGACCCAGGGAGUGGGGCCCAGGAAGCUGCAUUUGACAGAUAUCCCCGUGUGAUCAUCAUGCACACAGGAGUGAGAGAACCAGUGUUCUCCCCGGGCAGAAGGGAAGCUCGUGUGCAGGACACCUCACACCUCCUUUCCCAUUCCCCUGCCAGGCUCUCCCUGCUGACAUUGUUUUUGCGGGAGAGCUGUGAAUUCUGAAGAUUAGGUUGCUUCUCACCCCAAGCUCCAGAAGUCCAGGCUGAGCCAAACCAAGCUUCAAGUUGAACCACCAAACUGUUUUCCACAGAGGCUGCAUCAAUUGACAUUCCCACUAGCAAUGGAUGAGGGUUCCAAUUUUUCCAGAUGCUCACCAACACUUGUUAAUUUUGGUUUUGUUUUCAUUAUGGCCAUUCUGGUGGGUGUAAAGUAGCAUCUCAUUGUGGCUUGACUGAAUUUCUCUAAUGAGUAAUGAUGUUGAGCAUUUUUCAUGUGCUUAUUGGCUAUUUGUAUAUCUUUGUUGGAGAAAUAUCUGUUCAAGUUCUUUGGCCAUUUUAAAAUUGGGUUGUCUUUUUGUUGUUGAAUUGUAAAGUUCUUUAGAUAUUCUGAAUACUAGAUCCUUAUUAAAUAUAUGAUUUGAAAAUAUUUUUCCCAUUUUGAAUGUUGUCUUUUCAUUUUUUGGAUAGUGUCUUUUGGUGCACCAAACUUCAAAAAUUUUUUCGAAGUCCAGUUUAUCAAUUUUUUAUUUUGUUGCCUGUGCUUUUGGUGUCAUAUCCAAUAAGUCAUUGCCAAAUCCAAUGUCACAAAUAUAUUUUUGCUGCUUUCUUGUAAGAGUUAUACAGUUUUAGCUCAUAUGUUUAGGUCUUUGAUGCAUUUUGAGUUAAUUUUUGUAUGUAGUGUAGGAUAAGGGUCUAACUUCAUUCCUUUGCAUGUAAAUAUUCCAUUUUUCUGGCACCAUUUGUUGUAGGAACUGUCAUUUCCCCAUUAAAUGAUUUGGCAUCCUUGUCAGAAAUCAAUUGUCCAUACAUGUGAGGGUUUAUUUCUGGGCUCCCAAUUCUAUUCCAUUGGUCUAUACAUCUGUUCCCAUGCCAGUACCACACUGUUUGAUUAAUGUCGAUUUUUAGUAAGUUUUGAAAUCAGGAAGUGUGAAUCCUCCAACUUUGUUCUUUUCAAGAUCAUUUUGGUUAUAUGGGUUACCUUAAGAUUCCAUUUGAAUUUUCGGAUGGGUUUUUCUAUUUUUGUAAAAAAUAUCAUUGGGAUUUUGAUAGGAAUUGCACUGAAUCUGUAGAUCGCUUUGGGUAGUACUAUCAUAUUAACAAUAUUAAGUCUUCCAAGCCAUAAACAUGGACUGUCUUUCCAUUUAUUUAGAUUUUCUUUAAUUUCUUUCAGCAAUGUUUUGCAGUAUUCAGUGUACAAGUCUUUUGCCUCCUUUGUUAAAUUUAUUCCUAAGGAUGCUAUUCUUUCUGAUGCUAGUAAAAUAGUUUUCCUAAUUUCAUUUUCAGAUCAUGCAUAACCACCACCAUAAACAUGAUUCCAACACCCCAGAGUAUUCCCUCAGUCUGACCUUUUGUAAAGUGGUGCUUUUUAAAAUUUAAUUUUCCAAUUGCUUGUUGCUAGUGUAUAGAAAUACGACUGAUACUUUUAUAUUGGCCUUGUAUCCUGAGACCCUGUAAAUUCACUUAUUAGUUCUAGACAGUUUUAAUUCUUUCUUUCCAAUCUUUAUGCCUAUUAUUUCUGUUUUGUUUUGUUUUUUAAACAGGGUUUGGCUCUGUCACCCAGGCUGGAGUGCAGUGGCUUGAUUCCAACUCACUGCACCCUCGACCUCCUGGGCUCAAGUCAUCCUCCCACCUCAGCCUUCCAAGUAGCUGGGACUACAAGCAUGAGCCACCACACCCAGCUAAUUUUUUUUCUUUUCUUUUUCUUUUUUUUUUUUUUUGGAGGGUGCAGGGAGCAGAGUCUUGCUCUGUUGCCCAGGCUGGUCUCAAAUUCCUGAGCUCAAGUAAUUCAUACACCUUGGCCUCCCAAAGUGCUAGGAUUACAGGCAUGAGUCACCUUGCCUGACUAUUACUUCUUUUUUUGAGACAGUCUUGCUCUGUUGCCAGGCUGGAGUGCAGUGGCAUGAUCUCGGCUCACUGCAACCUCCGCCUCAUGGGUUCAAGCGAUUCUCCUGCCUCAGCCUCCCAGGUAGCUGGGACUACAGAUGCAUGCCACCACACCAAGCUAAUUUUUAGAUUUUUAGUAGAGAUGGGGUUUCACCAUGUUGGCCAGGAUGGUCUCGAUCUCUUGACCUCAUGAUCCACCUGCCUCAGCCUCCCAACAUGCUGGGAUUACAGGCGUGAGCCACUGCACCCGGCCUAUUAUUCCUUUUUUUGCCCUAUUGUCCCAGUGGAUAGUGAUGUCCAGUAGAGCGUUGAAUCAAAGUGGUAAAAUUGUGCGUCCUUGCCUUGUUCUCCACGUUAAGGUGAAAUUUUGAAGAUUUCAUUAUUACAUAUGAUGUAAGCUGUAGGUUUUUAUUUAUUUAUUUAUUUAGAGACAGGGUCUUGCUCUGUCACCCAGGCUGGAGUACAGUGGCAUGAUCCACUGUAGCCUUGACCUCCCAGUCUCAAGCAGUCCUCCCACCUCAGCCUCCCAAAUAGCUGAGACCACAGGCACAUGCCACCAUACCCUGCUAAUUUUUUAUUUUUUGUAGACAUGGGGUCUUACUAUCUUGACCAGGCUGGUCUCAAACUCAUGGGCUCAAAUCAUCCUCCUGCCUCAGCCUCCCAAAGUGCUGGGAUUACAGGCAUGAGCCACUGCACCUGGCCUAACUGUGGGCUUUUUUUGAAAUGUCUUUUUCAGGUUGAGGAAGGUCCCUUCUAUUCCUAGUGUACUGAGAGUUUGUAUCAUGAAAAGGUAUUGAAUUUUGUCAAAUGUUGUUCCUGUGUCUAUUGAGAUGGCUGUAUGGGUUUUCUCUUUUUUCUGAUAAUGUGAUGAAUUAUAUGGAUUUAUUAAUAUUGAAAUAAUAAAAUGACACUGCAUUCUUCGG